AGGUCUUCAGUGUAAUUAACAUCUAGACCCUAUUAUCUAAUUAAAUGGAGAGGAGGAGACCUCACCAAACCAAGGAGCCAUUCUCCUGGUCACCUGUGUAACAGAAGUAAUACAAGUGAAGACAAGGCAGCUGGAGGUGUUAGUGAAUUGAGGAGCCCCUGAUGUGGGGAGGUUUAGGAUGGAAAAUCAUUUGAACCUGGGAUUUCUGAGAUAUGUAGGGCUAAAGCUGGUGUGUUUGUGUGUGACCCCCCUAAGCAGAGGUCCACCAGGAGAGAUGAACCUAAGGAGAGGAGAACCAGUACAAGUUAGAAAAACAGAGCAGUUUAAAAAUGCCCAAGCAGAUGGGAAGUGGGAUGGACCUAUAAGUGAAUGCUAUUCUUCUGGCCUGGGAGAGAUUAAGGAGACCCAGUCUUGAAAAGAAAAGAAAAAGAAAAAAAAGGAAAAGAAGGGAGAUAGGUGAUUUCAGAAACUUCUUUGCUCAUUCUGGUAAUUGGCCCAUAUAUGCCCACUCUGCUUUCUUGGAACCUCAUCAAGUUGUUCCUGCAGUUCUGGAAGCCUGGUGCUCUAUAUCUCCAUCAUCAAGUAUGAAAAAUGAAAUUAUAAAUUCAAAGACUAACAGUUUCUUUGUCAAGUCAUGGGAAGGUGAUUGGUUGUUUUUCCAAGGAGGCCUGAUGGGGUUCCAGAUUUUCUCUUUUCCCCCACUUCUUCCCAUAACCAUUGAGAAGGUAAGAAAUAUGAUAUUCAUUAUACAUAUGAAGUCAUGCAAAACAUAUUUCCAUAUUAGCCAUGCUCUGGGGGUGGGCAAGAAAAACAAGACAAAGAAGGGAAAAAAACCAAACUAUGUUUCAGCCUGCACUCUGAGUCCCUCAG
rnacentral:lncRNA from 1 species